AUUGAACGCUGGCGGCAGGCCUAACACAUGCAAGUCGAACGAGUGGCGGACGGGUGCGUAAUGUCUGGGAAACUGCCCGAUGGAGGGGGAUAAAUACUGGAAACGGUAGCUAAUACCGCAUACCAUCGGAUGUGCCCAUAUGGGAUGAGCUUGUUGGGGGGGUAAAGGCUCACCAAGGCGACGAUGCCUAGCUGGUCUGAGAGGAUGACCAGACACACUGUAACUGAGAAAAGGUCCAGACGCCUAUGUGAGGCAGCAGUGGGGAUUGUGGAACAAUGGGUGCAAGCCUGAUGCAGCGAUGCCGCGUGUAUGAAGAAGUCAUUCGGGUUGUAAAGGACUUUCAGCGGGGAGGCGUUACCCGCAGAAGAAGAACCGGCUAACUCCGGGCCAGCCGCAUCGGUAAUAC
rnacentral:rRNA from 1 species